rnacentral:tRNA from 1 species
UGGGGUGUAGCCAAGUGGUAAGGCACCAGGUUCUGGCCCUGGCAUCCUGGGUUCAAAUCCUAGCACCCCAG